UACGUAGGUGGCAAGCGUUGUCCGGAAUUAUUGGGCGUAAAGCGCGCGCAGACGGUCCUUUAAGUCUGAUGUGAAAGCCCACGGCUCAACCGUGGAGGGUCAUUGGAAACUGGAGGACUUGAGUACAGAAGAGGAAAGUGGAAUUCCACGUGUAGCGGUGAAAUGCGUAGAGAUCGGGAGGAACACCUGUGGCGAAGGCGGCCGACUGGGCCGACCCUGACGCUGAGGCGCGAAGGCGUGGGGAGCGAACGGG
rnacentral:rRNA from 1 species